AUUGAACGCUGGCGGCAUGCCUUACACAUGCAAGUCGAACGGCAGCACGGGAGCAAUCCUGGUGGCGAGUGGCGAACGGGUGAGUAAUGCAUCGGAACGUGCCCAUGAGUGGGGGAUAGCCCGGCGAAAGCCGGAUUAAUACCGCAUACGCCCUUAGGGGGAAAGCGGGGGAUCUUCGGACCUCGCGCUAUUGGAGCGGCCGAUGUCGGAUUAGCUAGUAGGUGAGGUAAAGGCUCACCUAGGCGACAAUCCGUAGCUGGUCUGAGAGGAUGAUCAGCCACACUGGGACUGAGACACGGCCCAGACUCCUACGGGAGGCAGCAGUGGGGAAUUUUGGACAAUGGGCGCAAGCCUGAUCCAGCCAUGCCGCGUGAGUGAAGAAGGCCUUCGGGUUGUAAAGCUCUUUCAGGUGGAAAGAAAUAGCGCUGUUUAAUAGAUGGCGUUGAUGACGGUACCACCAGAAGAAGCACCGGCUAACUACGUG
rnacentral:rRNA from 1 species